rnacentral:sRNA from 2 species
UGCGACCACCAAUGUUCCGGCAGUCUGUGAGGAGCGCCUUCGGGUGACUGCACAAUAAAACUCUCUAAGCCUGAAAGGGAGUACAUGAAAAAUGUGGCAAAUCUGCUCACCUUUGAAAGCAGAUAUC